rnacentral:lncRNA from 1 species
UUAGAUUUAUGAUAUUUGGGCCCGGUUAUGAAAUUGGUCCACAGUGAGAUCUAAAGGGUCCAAAAUUGAACUUUAUUUAAUUUCAUCAAAAAUUGAAUUAUUGGGGUUCUUUGUUAUGCUGAGUCUAACCAUAGAUUUAUAUUUUGGAUAUUGGAAUACUACAAAGGGAAGGAAAGAAUUGUCUUUGGGAGUUAUGGCUCAAACCGUUAAGGAAUAAGGUGC